UUAAUGAAGUCAAAAUAUGAGCAGGUAUUUUUUUUUGUUCAUGUGAGAAAUGAAAACCACUUUAAUUUUUUUAUUCAAUAUUAUCCCUUUGGCAGGUGGAAAGUAAAGGGUUAUUCCCACUGAGAUGACAGAAACCUUGGCUCCUAGAGAGGCACUUCCUGUCUCUCUCCCAGACUCCAGAGUUUCUGAGUUCCCUUCCUCUCCCGCCCUGAGGAUUUCCCGUAGCAGCUAUAACACACUGUUUCCAGGUUCCUGUCUCCCCACAUUCUAAGCUAAUGAUGAACAGGAUGAUUUCAGAAAGACCUGGAAAGACCUUCAUGAACUGAUGCAGAGAGAAACAAGCAGAACCAGAAGAACAUUGUUCACAGUAACAGCAAAACUGCAAUGAUCAACUGUGACAGACUUUGUUCUUAUCAGCAGUACAAUGAUCCAGGACAAAUCUAAGGGACUUAUGACAAAGAAUGCUAUCUACCCCCAGAGAAAGAACUGUUGGAAUAGGAAUGCAGACAAAAGCAUACACAUUUUCACUUGUUUAUUUGGGUUUUAUGUUUUGGGGUUUUGGUUUUAUAAGAUUAUUCACAAAGAUGAACAAUAUGGAAAUAUAUUAUACAUGAUAAUACA